rnacentral:rRNA from 1 species
GAUGAACGCUGGCGGCGUGCCUAAUACAUGCAAGUCGAGCGAACAGACGAGGAGCUUGCUCCUCUGACGUUAGCGGCGGACGGGUGAGUAACACGUGUAUAACCUCCUUAUCUGACUGGUAUCACUUCGGGAAUCCGGCUCUUAUACCGUAUAAUCUCUUGCACCGCAUGGUUCAUUAGUGAAUGUCGGUUUUUCUGUCUCUUAUCGCUGGUUCCGCGCUGCUUUAUCUAGUUGGUAAGGUAACGGCUUACCAAGGCAACCCUGCGUAGCCGACCUGAGAGGGGGAACGGCCACAGUGGAACUGAGAGACGGUACAGGGACCUAGGGGAGGCAGAAGUAGGGAAGGUACGGAAAUGGGGGAAAGCUUGAAGGAGCAACGCCGGGUGAGUGAUGAAGGGCUGCGGAUCGGAAAACUCUGUUAUGAGGGAAGAACAAAUGUGUAAGUAACGAAGCACGUCUGAACGGUACGGAAUCAGAAAGCCACGGCUAACUACGU